rnacentral:rRNA from 1 species
CCCCGGUAAACGGCGGCCGUAACUAUAACGGUCCUAAGGUAGCGAAAUUCCUUGUCGGGUAAGUUCCGACCUGCACGAAUGGCGUAAUGAUGGCCAGGCUGUCUCCACCCGAGACUCAGUGAAAUUGAACUCGCUGUGAAGAUGCAGUGUACCCGCGGCAAGACGGAAAGACCCCGUGAACCUUUACUAUAGCUUGACACUGAACACUGGUCCUUGAUGUGUAGGAUAGGUGGGAGGCUUUGAAGUGUGGACGCCAGUCUGCAUGGAGCCGUCCUUGAAAUACCACCCUU